rnacentral:rRNA from 1 species
GAUGAACGCUGGCGGCGUGCUUAACACAUGCAAGUCGAACGAAGAGCGAUGGAAGCUUGCUUCUAUCAAUUUUAGUGGCGAACGGGUGUGUAACGUGUAAUCAACCUGUCUUUCAGAGGGGGACCACAGUUGGAAACGACUGCUAAUACCGCAUACGAUCUAAACUCGGCAUCGAGGAUAGAUGAAAGGUGGUCUCUACAUGUAAGCUAUCACUGAAGGAGGGUAUUGCGUCUGAUUAGCUAGGUGGAGGGGUAGCGGCCCACCAAGGCGAUGAUCAGUAGCCGGUCUGAGAGGACGAACGGCCACAUUGGGACUGAGACACGGCCCAGACUCCUACGGGAGGCAGCAGUGGGGAAUCUUCCGCAAUGGACGAAAGUCUGACGGAGCAACGCCGCGUGAGUGAUGACGGCCUUCGGGUUGUAAAGCUCUGUUAAUCGGGACGAAAGGCCUUCUUGCGAAUAGUGAGAAGGAUUGACGGUACCGGAAUAGAAAGCCACGGCUAACUACGUG